CCUACGGGUGGCAGCAGUGAGGAAUAUUGGUCAAUGGCCGUAAGGCUGAACCAGCCAAGUCGCGUGAAGGAAGAAGGAUCUAUGGUUUGUAAACUUCUUUUAUAGGGGAAUAAAGGUAUCCACGUGUGGCUAUUUGCAUGUACCCUAUGAAUAAGCAUUGGCUUACUCCGUGCCAGCAGCCGCGGUAAUACGGAGGAUGCGAGCGUUUUCCUGAUUUAUUGGGUUUAAAGGGUGCGUAGGUUGUUGUUUAAGUCAGCGGUGAAAGUUUGAGGGUCAACCAUUAAAUUGCCGUUGAAACUGGAAGACUUGAGUGUGUUUGAGGUAGGCGGAAUGCGUGGUGUAGCGGUGAAAUGCAUAGAUAUCACGCAGAACGCCGAUUGCGAAGGCAGCUUACUAGGCCAUAACUGACACUGAGGCACGAAAGCGUGGGGAUCGAACAGGAUUAGAUACCCUGGUAGUC
rnacentral:rRNA from 1 species